AGUGUUUUCUGAGGAGUGAACUCACAGGUUUCCUGCCUUGCCAGCUCUUUUGGUGGUAUGCUUAAAGCAAGAGCCAGGUGACAGCUGGGGGUAAUGGAUGUGAAUCCAAUAGGAGGGUUUCACGAUGCUGUCACAUCCAGUGUAAGAUCACAGUUAUGGAGCAGUGCCAAGCUCCAAAGUCUCAAACAUCAGAUACUGCUCCCCACAGAAGCUGUGUGGCUGCUCUCUACUGGGAAGUCUAGGUGCUUCAUGACAAGAUAUCAGUCUGCACCAGAAGGUACACACACCCCCAGUCCUACAAAUUCUCAAAAUAGCUCUCUGCCUGCCCAGGCAACAAAAUAGCUCAGUCUGCAAGCCACUUGCUCUUUCAAUCCUCCUGUUCUGCAGAACAGAAAGCAGCUAGUCAAUUAAAUACAUCACAGAUAAACAGCACAGAAGAUGUAUGUUAUGACUGUGCAUUACCACAUUUUUACACUGACUUUGGAACCAGAGCAGGAGCAGAAACACUCAGGUCAACUUCAUCGUUGGUAUGUGAAGUGAACUUCACUCUAAUGCUUAUUUCUAUUCCAGAAAAAAAAAAAUCAUAAAACUACCUAUACAUCAUCAGAAAAUAAUCUUAUUCAAUAUUCCACGGUAUUGUUAACUUGCCAGCCAGGCCUGUACCUUUAAAUAAGUGUUCCCUAAUCAGACAAACAGCUCCUGAUGAAUAUAUCCACAUUUUAAGCAACUGUGACUCCAGGAUCUCAAAAUCAACAUGUUUCAAAGCUGACUGCCUCUCUAAAACAUUCUCAUACAUGAAGUUGAAAGUUCAGUUGUUUCUUUUCACAAUACAGAAAAAAAAAAAGAACGAAAAGGAAAAUUAUUAGCAAAUUGAAAAUGUGAUCCUUCAGUUGAAAGCAGUAUUGGAAUAUAUUGGGAAUUACAGUUUUGUUUUGCUUUAGUGAUGCUGCAUUUCUGUUUUAGGUGUUUUACAUAAUCACCACAAAAUCAGAUGCACUUCUUAAAUUAGGUAUAAAGAAGCUAAAUUUGGCACAAGUUAUCCAACAAUUACCAAGUGCAGUUUUAGAAAGUAUCUGUUAAUUUAUUUCAUAUACAUGUAUUUACAUUCAAGGAAAUUCACACCACUGAAAAUACAACAUUUACACAUUCACAGAUAUACAGUUUUGCACUCUCUCCUGUGUUAAGAUCAGGCAUUCAGCUUUUCUCUCUCU